rnacentral:rRNA from 1 species
AUUGAACGCUGGCGGCAGGCUUAACACAUGCAAGUCGAGCGAGCGGCGGACGGGUGAGUACUGUCUGGGAAACUGCAUGAUGGAGGGGGAUAACUACUGGAAACGGUAGCUAAUACAGCAUACCAUCAGAUAUGACCAAAUGGGAUUAGCUAGUAAGUGUGGUAAUGGCUCACCUAGCCGCCGAUCCCUAGCAGGUCUGAGUGGAUGACCCGCCAACCUGGAACUGAGACACGGUCCAGACUCCUACGGGAGGCAGCAGUGGGGCAUAUUGCACAAUGGGCUCAGGCCUGAUGCAGCCAUGCCGCGUGUGUGAUGAAGGCCUUCGGGUUGUAAAGCACUUUCAGUGAGGAGGCGUUACUCGCAGAAGAAGCACCGGCUAACUCCGUGCCAGCAGCCGCGGUAAUUC